rnacentral:rRNA from 1 species
GGACUACUAGGGUAUCUAAUCCUGUUUGCUCCCCACGCUUUCGCGUCUCAGCGUCAGUCACCGUCCAGAGAGCCGCCUUCGCCACCGGUGUUCCUCCUGAUAUCUACGCAUUUCACCGCUACACCAGGAAUUCCACUCUCCUCUCCGGGACUCGAGUCCACCAGUUUCCAAUGCACUUCCGGGGGUGAGCCCCGGGCUUUCACAUCAGACUUAGUGGGCCGCCUACACGCGCUUUACGCCCAGUGAUUCCGAACAACGCUCGCACCCUCCGUAUUACCGCGGCUGCUGGCAC